AUACGGAGGAUCCGAGCGUUAUCCGGAUUUAUUGGGUUUAAAGGGUGCGCAGGCGGCCAUUUAAGUCAGCGGUUAAAUCGUGGGGCUCAACCCCAUUCUGCCGUUGAUACUGGGUGGCUUGAUUGCGGUCGAGGUUGGCGGAAUUCGUUGUGUAGCGGUGAAAUGCAUAGAUAUGACGAAGAACACCGAUUGCGUAGGCAGCUGACCAGACCGCAAAUGACGCUCAUGCACGAAAGUGCGGGGAUCGAACAGGAUUAGAUACCCUGGUAGUCCGCACAGUAAACGAUGAAUACUUGUUUUCGGCGAUAUAAUGUCGGAGGCAAAGCAAAAGCGAUAAGUAUUCCACCUGGGGAGUACGCCGGCAACGGUGAAACUCAAAGGAAUUGACGGGG
rnacentral:rRNA from 1 species